rnacentral:rRNA from 1 species
UACGGAGGAUCCGAGCGUUAUCCGGAUUUAUUGGGUGUAAAGGGAGCGCAGGCGGGAUAGCAAGUCAGCUGUGAAAACUAUGGGCUCAACCCAUAGCUUGCAUUUGAAACUGUUUUUCUUGAGAGUCGGAGAGGUAAGUGGAAUUCCCGGUGUAGCGGUGGAAUGCGUAGAUAUCGGGAGGAACACCAGUGGCGAAGGCGGCCUACUGGGCACCAACUGACGCUGAGGCUCGAAAGUGUGGGUAGCAAACAGG